CCAAUCUUCGGGAGGGUUAGGCCAGGCUCGUAAGCAGUCGACCCAAGAAGUUAAAUCUAAGUUCUGGUUCACGAAGGGAAUCCUAUUGGCCUCGCAAGAAAUCAGAUGGGCAGGACUCUCGACAGUCCGGGGGCCAAGACAAAGAGAGUUUGGAAGAGAAGGAUGCGGCAACAGAAUGUCUGGUACCUAAAAUUAAUGGUGAAAUAAGGCAUUAAUUCAGAUGUUUACUAUUAAUUCUAACACUAUGCUCGGAUGGCGAGGGGCAGUUAAAGAUUACCUUCAGACCAGAGACUGUUGCGUUGGCGUUGGACGAUUCCGCCAUCUGAUUUGCUGGCGGAUAUGAAUCUGCGCGGUUGGGGAUCUAGGAUUCGCGUCGCCGCGAGUCGAAUCUGUUCGAUGAGCAAUUGGGGAUCUGAGUUUGGUCCUUUAGACGAGGGUCGCAGGUUACCGUUUGAAGUCUGGCCUUACUGGCGUUUUAUGGUAAAAGACUGAUGCGUUGCUAUCGGCUCUUUGUGCGUUGACCUACUUUGACAAUCGGAAAAAUUAGACAUGGAAGCAUUCUUCAUUGAUGAAGAGGGUUUUUUUUUUUACAAGAAGAGCCGAUUGCUCACAAAAGGAAGAUCUGCUACCUAAUGUACUACUACUAGCCCUAUUCUAGUAGUCCCUAGUCUAGGGGCCGACGCCGUCACUGCCGUCGCUGCCCUCGUCAUCGCCGUCCUUGCUGCCAUCGGCGCUGCUGCCGGUGAUGUCCUCGUCGCUGCUGUUGAAGCCGCCGGCAGGGGCUUCUUCUUCUUCUUCGUCGUCGUCAUCGUCGUCCUCCGACCCGGCGCGGAAGCGCUUCACCGGCGGGUACUCGUCGGAGGAGGUGUCGUCCUCCGCUUCGUCCUCUUCGUCGGAGGAGAUGUCCUCGCCCCAGGAGAAGGCGUCAUCGUCGCUCUCUUCCUCCAACUCCCCGUCGAUGAGGAACUGGAGGUCAUCUUCCCCGUCGGUCAAGGAUUCGUCAUCCUCUGGCUAGACGGAGAAAUCCCAAUCCGCCUCGUCCCAAUGCGGUGGGGCGAGGGCCUCGUACGCCGCUAUCGGGUCGUACUCCGGCGUCGGCUCACGGGAGGAGGAAGAUUGGAAGGAGAGACCCGAAGAGGCAGAGGAGGAGUCCAUGGUUGCAGAGGAGGGGAGUUUUGAUUGCUAAUGUGGAGCAAGAGGAUGAGGAGGCGAACUGCUCGGAUGCGGUUAAAUAAAGGGGAUAUAGUGGAAGAUGAUUCAAUGCUGUGGCGAUUUCCGAGGGUGCGGUGCCAAAACUGUCAAAUCGUGCAGUACGGAGAAGUUGAGAAGGCAAGGCAUCAUGAUGGAAGGGCACUGUAGCGGUUCUGCUCUGCAACGCGUAACCCGAUGAAGAAAAACAGAGUGGUUUUGGAAUUAUUAUUGCCAAAACCAGGGGGGCAUGUGUUAUAGCCGGAUUUUAGCCACAUUGGGAGUUGGGCCGUGAUUGAGAUGGGCUUAGAGGAUAUGCACAUAAAGUGUUUCUGAAUCGGCCUCCUGCGAGAGUUUGGGCUAGAUUGCCCGUGUAUCUGUACAUUAUGGUAGAUUACGUCUCAGUUAGAAUUAAGAGAUAGAGAUUAGUUCGUACACAGUUAGGUUUAUUCCAAAGAUAGAAAGUCCACGGACUAUAAAUAUGUACCUAGGGUUAUUGAGGAAAAGGACGAUCACGUUCACAACAAACACAAUCUAGGCGCAUCGCCACCCCUUGUUUCGAGGGUUUCUUCCGGGUAAGCGCCAUGCUGCCCAGAUCGCAAGAUGCGAUCUGGGCAGUAUCAGUUUAUUCGUUAUUUUGUGUUGCUCGUACUGAAGCCUUGUUGAUGGCGAGUAACACCGUUAUCAUGGAUGUGUUGGGGCUAACAUCGAUACUUUUUUGAUAUGUUUGCUUAGUUAGGCUACCCCUACAUAUCUAGCUGCCUUUGCACAAGGUAGCAGCUUGCUUGGUCUUUAUUUAGUAGAUCUGAUCUGUUAUGGUUGUUCCUUGUUCUCCAAGGAUUAGUUUGAUAUCCGCAUGGUUAGGCCUUGCAAACGGGUUGAAUGAUCCAGUAGUGCGUAAGGUAUGGUUUGCCGAUCCUAGAGGAGUUGUUCCGAGAAUCGACCCUAUGUUGGUUUUUAGGCCUUUUCUAGGACUAGUUUUCUGUUAUCUUUCGUAUCUGCCAGGCUCAACUACGUGUAGGACGUUCCGAUUACGCGGUGAAAACCCUAGACUGUCGUAGGUCGAUUUAACUUGGUUUUGAUAAAGCAGGACCCCCAUGUUAUCGUAGAUCCAAUACGAACCAUGGGUCGAUCGGCUCCUUGAGCCGAUUCACAGGGUAACCUGAGAGCCGAUCGAGGCUCGGAUUUAAUGUUUACGUGUCUGCCAUGCAGGAAAGUAAUUGAAGCAAUCCAUCACCUUCCCGACCGGGUAUAGGUCGGGUGGCACGCCUCGCAACAGCCAGGACGUGUGCCAGAGUUUUGCGGGCCGUUGCCCGAGGGACCAGGGCCCACCAGCAGUUCUGGGAGCCUCCCGGCUCUUCGUGUUGCUCGUCGCUGCUCGCCGGUGGGUUUUGGCAGGCAACAACACUAUGUUCUUCACUUUGUCAUCCUCAUUGCUUUCUUCGUCGUCAAUCAUUAUCCGCAAUCCAUCUCUUUGUGUGACUCUUGAGCAUGCAAAACAGACAGAGAAUGGCCACGGUGAUUCAGUUGGCGACAUGAUUAUUCUUGGAAUAUAUACCUUGUCACCAACAUGUGUUCCUGUUAUUAUCUGGGCUUCGAUGAAUCUUUUUCCAAGCUGAGUAAUUGUCAUCCGUGUACCAUUGCAUAAUCCGGCACUCUGGUUGAUAUUACGCAUGAGCAUCACUGGUAGUCCUAUUUUUAGUCUUAUUUCGUGAUUUGGGAUUCCAGGAAACUUUAGCCCGUUUAGAAACUCUUUUGUACACAUCAUAUCGUCCGUAUCAUCAUUUAAAGUUGUAGCUUUGCAUACUGUGUCGCAACUUCUAUAAAUCGUGUCCUCCCCUUCUAGACAAUCCAUUAUGUACUCAUUGAUAUCCCUUACUGUUUCAUUUCUUGGAUAUAAGAUUGCUCUUUCUUCCAAAAAUUCUUGAUCUCGAUAUCUUUGUCUUAAAUUUGGAUAUAUGCUUUCCACGAGCGUUUCCUUUGGGUCAUGUCCUUUGUUCAAUAGUAUGUCUUUUGGUAUUUUUAUCCAAUCCUCACCUUCUGAUGAUGUUGUUGUUCUAUCGCCAAUAUUUAAAAUCCAGUCUGCAAAUUGUGCGAUUUUUUUUCUUCUCAGUCUCAUUAUCUGUCAUGCUAUUGAGUCGCAUGUUCUAUGUAAGCUUCAAGAUUUGAAAGUGGUUCCAAAGGUAAGACCUUUUGAUUGAUGCACUGACUAUAUUGUGUCUUCUUCCCUUUGGCAGAACCGGAAGAAUCUGGCGGAAGUCCCCUCCUAGAACAACGGUCAUGCCACCAAAUGGCUUCUUGCCGCUGUUCUCAUUCGUAUUCCUUAGUUGACUCCUCUGUAAGGAUAAGAGGUAUGUGGAACCUUGAGUGUGCUGUCCUACCACCCUGUAGAAGCAAUGCUGCAAUCCCGCAUGAUGCCACUGCCAGUACUAUCUUGCCCUCGGAACGCAAUUUUGUUGUUAUUGCUUUCCAGAGAUGGAAAGGAAGCCUUUCAACACAGGGUUCUCGGAAGUGCAUUUCAUAUUGAAAUAUCCUCCAGCAUGCAUCAUAUGCUGACAUGUAUGUGCACUCAAGCGAUCUGUUGCACACCUCAACGUUUAUGUGAGCUUGAUACUUGACCAGUAAAUCUCUAUUGUAUGGUACCACGUAUCUGUUGUCCAACUUGACCUCUCCCUUUUGUAUGUAUCUUCCAUCUUCGCGUCUUCUAUACAUCGGGUAUCCAUCUUCAUCAAUGGUUGUAUUUCUGUUAUUUUGUUUUGGAAAUUUUCUUAUGCACUUGUUAUCGACCAUGCAUGGUGAAUUUGGAUUUGCUUGCCCACAUGGUCCAUGCAUCAUGAAGUUCUCAACAGCUGCAUAUCCUUUUGGAUCAGUUUCCUUGUCCGGGAUUUCAGCACAUGUUAUCUUAUCUACCUCCUCAGGUUCAGGGCAUCUGUUCUUUUCUUUCUUAUGAAGGAAUAUGACUAUGUGGGCGUGCGGGAGGCCUCUCUUUUGGAACUCUAUUGUGUAUAUAACUGCCAGUUAAAUAAAUAAAUGUCAAUCUAUUUAGUAAUAGAAUAGUAAUUAUUACUUGAGAAUAAGUGUGCAUGGCAUUACUUACGAGUGUUUUUCCAAAGUAUUCCCUUUCCUUUAUGUCUCUCAUGAAUUCCUUGAGUUUUAUGUGGAAUACUCGAUCAACAAUGUUAGGUCUGUCUGAUGCUGUUUGGCCUAAAUCCUGUAGCAUAGAUUGAAUCUCCGGCCAAGCUGCGUUGCAUGUAAAGGUCACAAAUAUGUCUGGAUAUCCAGCCCAUGUACAUAUUGCCAUGGCAUCUUGGUAGUUUUGUGUUUUGUACCUCGGGCUAUCUGUGACAGUGGAUGGAAGCAGUAUUCUCUUUCCUACCUGUUCAGCACUGGUAUCUCCCCUUUCAACUGCGUCCUGCAAGCCAUCAUAUAGUUCUGUUCUUAGGUUUCCUUGAUUUCUUCUAAUCCAGUUGAGCCUGAACUGUAAAAUACAUGCAAAGGCAUCGACUAUAAAUUGCAAUGUAAGUUUUUCACAUUAUAGCAAGUGCAUUGACUUUUAGAUUCUCUGUUGUAGUCGAUAUGCAUAGUAUUCGAGCAUUGUAACAUGCUUUCUCUUGCAUGUCGCACCUUCUUUUAAUAUGUAUGGAAUUUUCUCUCUGUAUCCAUCUUCUCCAUAGGGAAAUAGUAAUGGGUACUGCAUAGCCAUGAAUUUUGGAUGGUUCUCAGAUAUUCUUUUGGGUCUCAUAUCUUUAUACUGAACAACGAUGUCACGUUCUUGUCUAUCUUCGGAUGUAUCAUUGACAAUUAGUGCUGCCACUUCAGAUGCUGAUGGCAUGUUAUAUUUUUUUCCAUCUCUCUGACGCUUAUUUAUUAUUUUUAAUUUCACGUCAUGAUAUUCUCCUUCUUUGAACCUGUCCCUUGCCAUUCGGAAUGUUUUUGCUAGUAUAUUUUCUUUAUCCAACAUAUUCUUGAGGCCUUCAACAAUGUGGGGAUCUAUCAACUUCCUUGUUUCCUCUGAAGAUGUUGAUGCUUGUAUCCUGUUCUUUACCUCGUUUUCCGUGUCAUAAAUGUAAAGUUGUGCCCAGCGUGGUCUGGGUGGGUUUUCUCCUUCUUCUUCUGGUAGCAGAGUACCAAUCCGAUGAUGAUUUGGCCCAUUCAUUUUGAAUACAUAAGGUCCAUUCCCAUUGUUUAUUUCUUUGUCAACCUUUCCUCCCAUCGAUGUGUGAAAGCAAACAUAGAGUUGUACAAUCUGAUAUUUUUCAUGUAGUUCUUUGAUCUCCUUCCUUUCUCUUUUCUCAUCAAUUUCAUUAGGUAUGAUGGCGGCUCCUUCAAAUCUGGCAAGUGUACCUUGCCUUGUUGCCAGCAUAUUCCAAAAGUCGGAGUGUUUCUUCCUCUUCCUGAAGUUCUUUCUUCAUACCAGAAAAUUGCACCGCAUCGUUCACACUUGGAAGUUGGUUUUCCCAAGUUCCAAAUUUGCAUGUCACUCCUUUUUGAUGACCUGUUACAACUUUGUAUUUAUAAUCAUGUUCAUUACUGUAGAUUAUAGAGCGAUGCAUGGAUACCAAAUUAUAGACACUCGCAUAAUACAUAUUUUCUGGUGUAGCAUCUGUUACCUGUCCUGGCUUGAAGUUUGUUCGUUUGGCAUCACAUUGCACUGUUGCACGUCUCCAGAAAUCACGGAAUGUGUUCCUGAUUUCUUAUCUUUAAUUUUUUGUAUCCUAUUUAAUCUUGCCGAUCGGAUUGUUUCUCUGGAUUGGCAAAAGUAAUCCUUAAAAACUCAGGCAUGUCUAGGUAAUUAUUGUACCAACUUACAUGUACCAAGUGUAUUGAAUGAACUCACUUGCACGUAAGCCAUAUAUAUUCAAGAUACAUUAUUAGAA